rnacentral:rRNA from 1 species
AGUCAAGUAAUUAAGUGCAUGUGGUGGAUGCCUUGGCAGUCAGAGGCGAUGAAAGACGUGAUAGCCUGCGAAAAGCUCCGGGGAGGCGGCAAAUAUCCUUUGAUCCGGAGAUGUCUGAAUGGGGGAACCCACCUACUUUAAGGUAGGUAUUGCAACAUGAAUACAUAGUGUUGCGAGGCGAACGAGGGGAAGUGAAACAUCUCAGUACCCUUAGGAAAAGAAAUCAAUUGAGAUUCCCUCAGUAGCGGCGAGCGAACGGGGAUCAGCCCAUUAAGUUAUGUGUGUUUUAGUGGAACGCUCUGGGAAGUGCGAACGUAGAGGGUGAUAUUCCCGUACACGAAAGGGCACACAUAAUGAUGACGAGUAGGGCGAGGCACGUGAAACCUUGUCUGAAUAUGGGGGGACCAUCCUCCAAGGCUAAAUACUCCUGACUGACCGAUAGUGAACCAGUACCGUGAGGGAAAGGCGAAAAGAACCCCUGUGAGGGGAGUGAAAUAGAUCCUGAAACCGCAUGCAUACAAGCAGUGGGAGCACCUUCGUGGUGUGACUGCGUACCUUUUGUAUAAUGGGUCAGCGACUUAUAUUCAGUAGCAAGGUUAACCGUAUAGGGGAGCCGUAGAGAAAUCGAGUCUUAAUAGGGCGUUUAGUUGCUGGGUAUAGACCCGAAACCAGGCGAUCUAUCCAUGAGCAGGUUGAAGGUUGGGUAACACUAACUGGAGGACCGAACCCACUGUCGUUGAAAAGCCAGGGGAUGACUUGUGGAUAGGGGUGAAAGGCUAAUCAAGCCUGGUGAUAGCUGGUUCUCCCCGAAAGCUAUUUAGGUAGCGCCUCGGACGAAUACCAUAGGGGGUAGAGCACUGUUUCGGCUAGGGGGUCAUCCCGACUUACCAAACCGAUGCAAACUCCGAAUACCUAUGAGUACUAUCCGGGAGACAGACUGCGGGUGCUAACGUCCGUAGUCAAGAGGAAAACAAUCCAGACCGCCAGCUAAGGCCCCAAAAUCAUAGUUAAGUGGGAAACGAUGUGGGAAGGCAUAGACAGCUAGGAGGUUGGCUUAGAAGCAGCCACCCUUUAAAGAAAGCGUAAUAGCUCACUAGUCGAGUCGGCCUGCGCGGAAGAUGUAACGGGGCUAAAACUAUGUGCCGAAGCUGCGGAUGUAUACUUUGUAUACGUGGUAGGGGAGCGUUCUGUAAGCCGAUGAAGGUGUGUUGAGAAGCAUGCUGGAGGUAUCAGAAGUGCGAAUGCUGACGUGAGUAACGACAAAACGGGUGAAAAACCCGUUCGCCGAAAGACCAAGGGUUCCAGUCCAACGUUAAUCGGGGCUGGGUGAGUCGACCCCUAAGGCGAGGCCGAAAGGCGUAGUCGAUGGGAAAAUGGUUAAUAUUCCAUUACUUCUGUGUAAUGCGAUGAGAGGACGGAGAAGGCUAAAUCAGCCUGGCGUUGGUUGUCCAGGUGAAAGGAUGUAGGCAUGUAUCUUAGGCAAAUCCGGGGUACUCUAUGCUGAGAUCUGAUAGCAAGCUGUACUUGUACAGCGAAGUGGUUGAUGCCAUGCUUCCAGGAAAAGUCUCUAAGCUUCAGUUACACAGGAAUCGUACCCGAAACCGACACAGGUGGUCAGGUCGAGUAGACCAAGGCGCUUGAGAGAACUCUGCUGAAGGAACUAGGCAAAAGUGGUACCGUAACUUCGGGAGAAGGUACGCUGUUGUUGGUGAUGGAACUCGCUUCCUGAGCUGACGACAGCCGCAGAAACCAGGCCGCUGCAACUGUUUAUUAAAAACAUAGCACUCUGCAAACACGAAAGUGGACGUAUAGGGUGUGAUGCCUGCCCGGUGCUGGAAGGUUAAUUGAUGGGGUUAGCGUAAGCGAAGCUCUUGAUCGAAGCCCCAGUAAACGGCGGCCGUAACUAUAACGGUCCUAAGGUAGCGAAAUUCCUUGUCGGGUAAGUUCCGACCUGCACGAAUGGCAUAAUGAUGGCGGCGCUGUCUCCAGCAGAGGCUCAGUGAAAUCGAAAUCGCUGUGAAGAUGCAGUGUACCCGCGGCUAGACGGAAAGACCCCGUGAACCUUUACUGCAGCUUGACACUGAACUUUGACCUUACUUGUGUAGGAUAGGUGGGAGGCUUUGAAGCUGGAACGCUAGUUCCAGUGGAGCCGUCCUUGAAAUACCACCCUGGUAAUGUUGAGGUUCUAACUCUGUCCCGUGAUCCGGGACGAGGACCGUGUCUGGUGGGUAGUUUGACUGGGGCGGUCUCCUCCUAAAGAGUAACGGAGGAGUACGAAGGUGCGCUCAGCGUGGUCGGAAAUCACGCGUAGAGUAUAAAGGCAAAAGCGCGCUUAACUGCGAGACCCACAAGUCGAGCAGGUACGAAAGUAGGUCUUAGUGAUCCGGUGGUUCUGUAUGGAAGGGCCAUCGCUCAACGGAUAAAAGGUACUCUGGGGAUAACAGGCUGAUACCGCCCAAGAGUUCAUAUCGACGGCGGUGUUUGGCACCUCGAUGUCGGCUCAUCUCAUCCUGGGGCUGAAGCAGGUCCCAAGGGUAUGGCUGUUCGCCAUUUAAAGAGGUACGCGAGCUGGGUUUAGAACGUCGUGAGACAGUUCGGUCCCUAUCUACCGUGGGCGCUGGAAAUUUGAGAGGAUCUGCUCCUAGUACGAGAGGACCAGAGUGGACGAACCUCUGGUGUACCGGUUGUGACGCCAGUCGCAUCGCCGGGUAGCUAUGUUCGGAAGGGAUAACCGCUGAAAGCAUCUAAGCGGGAAGCCUACCUCAAGAUAAGAUUUCCCUAGGACUUUAUGUCCUCUAAAGAGCCGUUCGAGACUAGGACGUUGAUAGGUUGGAUGUGGAAGCAUAGUGAUAUGUGAAGCUGACCAAUACUAAUUGCUCGUGAGGCUUGACUAUACAACACCC